rnacentral:lncRNA from 1 species
AGCAGGAUCUGGGUGGCCUCGGGCUUGCCGGCAUCUGCCGCGAGGUCACCCGAGUCCUCUGCGCCACCAUCUUCAAUUCCUCCUGCUUAGGUCCCAUGCUGCUCUCCCUCAUCUUGCCCUGCGCCAAUGACGUCCUUAGCUCCCGCGUCGACUCCAACCAAGACAGCCUCCUCCGCCUCGCCGCGUACUGGGCCGCCUUACUUCUCUUCAAGCUCCUCUACUUUGGUCUCUGCUACGUGUUCACGCUCUUCUGCACCUGCGCCUACGUGUUCCUAGUCGCUUCUCUCUAUUGCACCGGCGGCGAUUUCGCCGCCGCCAAUCACGGCCGCCACGCCCUCCCAGUCGACCCGUCCAGGCGGCUUAAUCGCACCUUCUUCUUCCUCGCAAUCCCUCUACUGAUCACAUUCUACGCCGGCGCCCAAGCCUGGAUCGCGCUCCAGCAGCUGGACGCUCCGGGCGUGGUCACCCUGCCGCUGCAGCUCAUGGGCGGGGCCGCGUGCCUUGCCGGCGCCGCGUACGCCGCCGUCGUCUGCCAGCUGGCCUGCGUGGUCUCCCUCCUCGAGGACGCCUGGCUUCUCACCGCCAUACGCAGGAGCCGCGCGCUCCUCGCCGGCAAGUUCUGGCCGGCGGCGGCCAUCUUCCUCACGCUCGACGCCUGCAUCGUGGCUCUGCUAAUGGCCUACACGGUUCUGGUGGUGGCGGUGCGCGACGCGCUGGGGCUGCGUCUCGCUUUCCUGCUGGCUGCGGGAGUUGGGAUGACAGUCGCUCUGUGGGCGGUGCUCGUCGUCACGCUGGUGGCGCAGCCGGUGGUGUACCUCGUCUGCAAGAACCACCACCACGAGGUCGUUGACAACGUCCACCUCAACUACGUCGGAGAGUACGAGCGGCUCGCCGUCGACGGCGACAAUGGCGUGGAGCUGCAGCCGGCGCCGCAGGUCACUACAACUGCCUAGUCCAUCCAGUUCAGUGAGUCCCCGGCCCCCAGACCCCAGCCGGCAGUACUACUACUCUAUUCAUUCUUGGAUUUGAGAGACAAUUAAAAGUACUACUCCUAUGUUUUGAGACAAUUAGUAAGUGCGUUAGCUACCUUCAUCACAGUUUGAAUGUAUUAGUCGUAUGAUGACUACAUCUCAUCCGAUUUUGGCACAUCAUGUGUGUUUGGUUCUUGUAUAUAUUUGUGUGACGCUGUGAGCUAGUAUAAUUGUUGAGCUUAUUAACUUUAGUAGUACUCUCUUUUAUUUACUCUGUGUAUUAGCUUCGAUUGGCGUUAAAUUUUACUAUAAGGUUUGAUCAAGUUUGUAGAAAUUGAUAUAAACAUUUAUAAUAAAAAAUCAUUAUGAUGUGAAAAUAUACUCAAUAAUGAAUCUAUAGUAUUGAUUUGGUGGUGUAUGUGCUAAUACAUUUUUCGACAAACCUGGUGAAAAAUUAUAAAUUUGACUAGACAAAGCUAACUAAUUACUCGGCUAGUAUAACCGUAUGUAGUUCAUAUUGAAAUCUUUGAAAAAACUUACAUUUAGGAAUGAAGGGAGUAUGUAUAUGCGAAAAAACGGAGGGAUACAUGCAUUUGACCCAUUUGUCACAUUUUCGUUUGUACGUGAAAUUUUAUACAUGAGUAGAAUACUCGGCUAGUUUUGGAAUUGCCGGUUAUUUUUAAUAUUCUUUAAAAUUCGUCUGUGGAUCCGAAAGAAAAAUAAAAUUCUGUGUCCAUGGCUAAACGGCAUGGACGUCGUUCGGCGGUGACACGAAACCUAAGCGCCCGCUAGUUGUCCGGUCCGAUAUUUGCGUGUCGACGCCUCCUCGAUCAUCAACCGCUUUGGUGGCCAUGGUGGCGUAUCCAAAGAAUAAUAUGCUCCUACCGCUAGCAGUUGACGCGUGCAGUAAAGUAGUAAAACGAUGAGAAGAUGAAAAGCGUGUUGUGCUGGUACAGAAACUAGCUCGACCAGUCUAGUGCUGGAAAAAGUCCAUUUUGAACCUUGAAUUUGUAAGGGUUCGGCGAAACGAAUUCUAAGUCGAAAUUCCGGUCAAUUGCACCCUGAACUAUGCAAUCCCGGUCUAAAUUAAACCCUAGCAAAAGUCAACCGGGAUUUGUCUAGCUAUUGGACGAAGGAGCGGCAUGUUGACCACUGUGUGUGCGCCGGUCCUUCGCGCUGGGUCAGCCCAUUUGUUUUUCUAUUUGCUAAAAAAAGUGUCUUUAUUUUUCUAUCGCACGCACAGGCGUAAAACGUUAACUCAGUAUUUGCAACAACAAAUGCGCUGGUACAACUAGCUGAGCGAGCGACCGAAUGCGUUCAUAUGGCAACACAAAACAAUAAGGGCCUGCUCGGUUCAAGGGAAAGGAAAGUGUAGGAGCGAGAAAGGGAAGGAGGUACAAAACAUCGGAAAGAAAAUUGAUGUACGUGCAUGCAGAGUUACCCUUCGGAACAAAGGAAGGGAAUCACACGAAAUCAGCUGACGUGCGUUCCAAAGAGUGAUGUUUAAAUGCAAAAAGAGGAGGAAAGUGGGGCCAAACUGUGCACAGAACAACCACACAUGUGUGCACAUGAAAGUUUUCUAAAAUUCACAAACAAUUUUGAAACGGAAACAUUUUUCAAACUCUUGAUUUUUUAUUGAAAACACAAACAUUUAUAGAAUUUUAUGAAAUAUAGGAAUAUUUUUUGAAACUCCAGAACAAAAUUAGAACACACAAACAUUUUUUAAAUCUGUGAAGAAUUUUUGAAACGGAACCAAAUUUUAAAAUCACAAACAUUUCUUUAAAAAUUUGUCAAUAAUAUGGGACAAAAACAUUCUUAACAAUAUUUUAAUCUGGUUCAUGAACAACUUUAUAUUAUUUUGAAAAUCUGGUUCACGAUUCUUAUUUGUGCGCUUAUUUUUUGCAAAUAUGCAACUUCACAAAUUAAUGAAAAAAUGAAAGAGGUGCGUGGAAAAUUAUUCGAACUCGCGGCAAAUAUAUGAUAUUAUUUUUGAAAAAAAUAUGAAUAGAUGAACCUUUUUGUAGUAUAUGCUGAACAAUUUCCGAAUAAGUAUUCAACAAUUGUGCGUUAUACCAGUUUUUAUUUUUGAAAUUCUAGUUCACAAGUUUCUUUUUUUCGUUUGUCAUUUCCUACUAAGAUGGCCACUGGUUUUUCCGAUCAAACAGCACCAGCAGGCUGGGCGCGAACUUUUUUGUUUUUAACGAAAAAAAUUAUACGGGACAGCCUAGCAGGGAGCAGGGUGUAGCGCCCUUGGUGAAAUUUUGUUUCUUAACGAAAAAAAAA